rnacentral:piRNA from 1 species
UGUGGGAAAGCCUUCAACAGACAAUCAA